rnacentral:rRNA from 1 species
GACGAACGCUGGCGGCGUGCUUAACACAUGCAAGUCGAGCGGUAAGGCCCUUUCGGGGGUACGACGAGCGGCGAACGGGUGAGUAACACGUGGGUGACCUGCCUUUAGUCUCUGGGAGUAAAGCCUGGGAAACUAGAGUCUAAUACCGGAUAUGACUCCAUGAUGCAUGUUGUGGGGUGGAAAGCCUUGUGCGGCUGGAGAUGGGCCCGCGG